AAAUUGAAGAGUUUGAUCAUGGCUCAGAUUGAACGCUGGCGGCAGGCCUAACACAUGCAAGUCGAACGGUAACAGGAAACAGCUUGCUGUUUCGCUGACGAGUGGCGGACGGGUGAGUAAUGUCUGGGAAACUGCCCGAUGGAGGGGGAUAACUACUGGAAACGGUAGCUAAUACCGCAUAACGUCGCAAGACCAAAGAGGGGGACCUUCGGGCCUCUUGCCAUCGGAUGUGCCCAGAUGGGAUUAGCUAGUAGGUGGGGUAACGGCUCACCUAGGCGACGAUCCCUAGCUGGUCUGAGAGGAUGACCAGCCACACUGGAACUGAGACACGGUCCAGACUCCUACGGGAGGCAGCAGUGGGGAAUAUUGCACAAUGGGCGCAAGCCUGAUGCAGCCAUGCCGCGUGUAUGAAGAAGGCCUUCGGGUUGUAAAGUACUUUCAGCGGGGAGGAAGGGAGUAAAGUUAAUACCUUUA
rnacentral:rRNA from 1 species